GCUCCGGUGGUGUAGCCCGGUUAAGCAUUUCGGCCUUUCGAGCCGAAGAUCGCGGGUUCAAAUCCCGCCCGGAGCA
rnacentral:tRNA from 1 species